CAGCCACCCAGCACCAGUCUCUGCGAUGGUGAGCUCACGGGUCACUCUCAUUACUGUCAUGUGUCUGGUGUACUCCAGUCAGAAAAGGAUCUCUGGAGCAGAAGUGGAGAGGAGAGUCAGACGAGGAGAAUGCAUCAUCCUCUACAGCAACUGUGAAAUACCUGCUAGGUCAAAUACUAAAUGGUUUAGGAGCAGUUCAUCUGAACGUCAUUCUGCUGUUGAUUUACUGACUGAUAAGGAAACUUGCUGCUCUGCUGUGUGGAAUGCCUCCAGUAAGACUCAAGAUCUGCUGAUUCAGGAUGUCAAUGAAUCAGACCAGGGCAGUUACAUGCAUAUGCAUCAAAUAAUCAGUAUUUCCUAAUGAGCAUUACUGACAACAUUAUGGCUUUAAUAUUGAUUUUCUCCAGUGUUCCAGGGUGGAUCUGUAAUGUGACUGACUGAUUCUUUUCCUUCAUUGAUAAUAGAAAAAGAAACUGGUCAGAGAUGGAUGUACAAAAAACAGAGCUAGAAACAACAAAAUACUGAUGAGGCUGGAGGAGGUGAGGUUUGUUACGCCUCAGUGCACUUCUCAAAGGGAGAACACAAACACCCCAAGAAGACGAGAGUUCAGAACUUUGAUUUCAGUUCUUAUUCUGAGGUCAGAAUUGAAAAAUUCUGAAACUCAGGAAGUUGAGGUGUUUUGUGGACUGCAGUCAUCAGAGAGAGAGAGAGUUGAUGCACUUAUGCUUCAUUUAUGAACUCAGUGUGAACUGAUUUCAUGUAGUAAUUCCACUUCCAUAA